GACGAACCGAGCGAACGUUGUUCGGAUUCAUUGGGCGUAAAGGGUGCGUAGGCGGCGCGGUAAGUCGGGUGUGAAAUCUCGGGGCUUAACUCCGAAACUGCAUUCGAUACUGCGGUGCUUGAGGACUGGAGAGGAGACUGGAAUUUACGGUGUAGCAGUGAAAUGCGUAGAUAUCGUAAGGAAGACCAGUGGCGAAGGCGGGUCUCUGGACAGUUCCUGACGCUGAGGCACGAAGGUCAGGGGAGCAAACGGG
rnacentral:rRNA from 1 species